AUUGAACGCUGGCGGAAUGCUUUACACAUGCAAGUCGAACGGCAGCACGGGGGCAACCCUGGUGGCGAGUGGCGAACGGGUGAGUAAUACAUCGGAACGUGCCCGGUCGUGGGGGAUAACGUAGCGAAAGUUACGCUAAUACCGCAUACGAUCUGAGGAUGAAAGCGGGGGACCUUCGGGCCUCGCGCGAUCGGAGCGGCCGAUGUCAGAUUAGGUAGUUGGUGGGGUAAAGGCCUACCAAGCCGACGAUCUGUAGCUGGUCUGAGAGGACGACCAGCCACACUGGGACUGAGACACGGCCCAGACUCCUACGGGAGGCAGCAGUGGGGAAUUUUGGACAAUGGGCGCAAGCCUGAUCCAGCCAUUCCGCGUGCAGGACCAAGGCCUUCGGGUUGUAAACUGCUUUUGUAUGGAACGAAAAGGCUCUGGCUAAUACCUGGGGCUCAUGACGGUACCGUAAGAAUAAGCACCGGCUAACUACGUG
rnacentral:rRNA from 1 species